rnacentral:rRNA from 1 species
CCUACGGGUGGCAGCAGUGGGGAAUAUUGGGCAAUGGGCGCAAGCCUGACCCAGCAACGCCGCGUGAAGGAAGAAGGCUUUCGGGUUGUAAACUUCUUUUCUCAGGGACGAAGAAAGUGACGGUACCUGAGGAAUAAGCCACGGCUAACUACGUGCCAGCAGCCGCGGUAAUACGUAGGUGGCAAGCGUUAUCCGGAUUUACUGGGUGUAAAGGGCGUGUAGGCGGGGAAGCAAGUCAGAUGUGAAAACUACGGGCUCAACCUGUGGCCUGCAUUUGAAACUGGUUUUCUUGAGUACUGGGGAGGCAGACGGAAUUCCUAGUGUAGCGGUGAAAGGCGUAGAUAUUAGGAGGAAAACCAGUGGCGAAGGCGGUUUGCUGGAAAGGAACUGACGCUGAGGCGCGAAAGCGGGGGGAGCAAACAGGAUUAGAUACCCGAGUAGUC